CCUACGGGAGGCAGCAGUGGGGAAUAUUGCACAAUGGGCGAAAGCCUGAUGCAGCGACGCCGCGCGAGGGAUGAAGGCCUUCGGGUUGUAAACCUCUUUCGACAGGGACGAAGCGCAAGUGACGGUACCUGGAGAAGAAGCGCCGGCCAACUACGUGCCAGCAGCCGCGGUAAGACGUAGGGCGCGAGCGUUGUCCGGAUUUAUUGGGCGUAAAGAGCUCGUAGGCGGCUUGUUGCGUCAGCUGUGAAAACCCGCAGCUCAACUGUGGGCUUGCAGCUGAUACGGGCAGGCUUGAGUUCGGUAGGGGAGACUGGAAUUCCUGGUGUAGCGGUGAAAUGCGCAGAUAUCAGGAGGAACACCGGUGGCGAAGGCGGGUCUCUGGGCCGAUACUGACGCUGAGGAGCGAAAGCAUGGGGAGCGAACAGGAUUAGAUACCCUGGUAGUCCAUGCCGUAAACGUUGGGCACUAGGUGUGGGGGACAUUCCACGUUUUCCGCGCCGUAGCUAACGCAUUAAGUGCCCCGCCUGGGGAGUACGGCCGCAAGGCUAAAACUCAAAGGAAUUGACGGGGGCCCGCACAAGCGGCGGAGCAUGCGGAUUAAUUCGAUGCAACGCGAAGAACCUUACCAAGGCUUGACAUGAACCGGACCGCCGCAGAAAUGUGGUUUCCCCUUUGGGGCUGGUUUACAGGUGGUGCAUGGUUGUCGUCAGCUCGUGUCGUGAGAUGUUGGGUUAAGUCCCGCAACGAGCGCAACCCUCGUUCUAUGUUGCCAGCACGUGAUGGUGGGGACUCAUAGGAGACUGCCGGGGUCAACUCGGAGGAAGGUGGGGACGACGUCAAAUCAUCAUGCCCCUUAUGUCUUGGGCUUCACGCAUGCUACAAUGGCCGGUACAAAGGUUGCGAUACUGUGAGUGGAGCUAAUCCCAAAAGCCGUCUCAGUUCGGAUUGGGGUCUGCAACUCGACCCAUGAAGUCGGAGUCGCUAGCAUCGCAGAUCACCACGCGCCGGCGAUUACGUUUCCUGGG
rnacentral:rRNA from 1 species